rnacentral:rRNA from 1 species
UGUAAGCGUAUACCAAAGUUGUUGCAGUUAAAACGCUCGUAGUCGGACUUUGGCAGUUCCGGAUGUGUGCACGUCGUGUGCGCACUUCGCGGGGAUUGCUUUUGUGGUCUUGCGUAGGAUGAGGCACUUUUAUUAGUGAACGUCCUCACGCAACCACUUUUUACUGUGAGAAAAUCAGAGUGCUCAAAGCAGGCAUUUGCCGUGAAUGUAUUAGCAUGGAAUAAUAGAAUAGGACUUGGUUCUAUUUUGUUGGUUUGUCGGGACUGAGUAAUGAUUAAGAGGGACAGUUGGGGGCAUUUGUAUUUCGGUGCUAGAGGUGAAAUUCUUAGAUUACCGAAAGACAAACUGCUGCGAAAGCGUCUGCCAAGGAUGUUUUCAUUGA